rnacentral:rRNA from 1 species
AUUGAACGCUGGCGGAAUGCUUUACACAUGCAAGUCGAACGGCAGCACGGGGGUAACCCUGGUGGCGAGUGGCGAACGGGUGAGUAAUACAUCGGAACGUGCCCAGUCGUGGGGGAUCACUACGCGAAAGCGUAGCUAAUACCGCAUACGAUCUACGGAUGAAAGCGGGGGAUCGCAAGACCUCGCGCGAUUGGAGCGGCCGAUGGCAGAUUAGGUAGUUGGUGGGGUAAAGGCCUACCAAGCCGACGAUCUGUAGCUGGUCUGAGAGGACGACCAGCCACACUGGGACUGAGACACGGCCCAGACUCCUACGGGAGGCAGCAGUGGGGAAUUUUGGACAAUGGGCGCAAGCCUGAUCCAGCCAUUCCGCGUGCAGGAUGAAGGCCCUCGGGUUGUAAACUGCUUUUGUACGGAACGAAACGGCGCUCUCUAAUACAGGGCGCUAAUGACGGUACCGUAAGAAUAAGCACCGGCUAACUACGUGCCAGCAGCCGCCGUAAGAC